AAGUACUCCUCAGCGCCUGAAGUCAGAGCCCAUGACUCUCUGGGUCUUCUGUCCUGGGAUCAUCAGAGGUCAGAGCCAGGGCCGAGGCAAGGCUCAUAGGAGGUUAAGGGUAGCUCAGUACUAUCACACAUAGGUGCCCCUAGAACCUCCCAAAGUCUGAAGUGUCUUCUCCACGGCUGCCCUAGAAAGGCAUAAGUUAUGAGCCUGCCUGACCAAGACGUAAAGGAUCCUGGACGGAGGCGGGCGCCGUGACGACUUGGUGCCAUGAUCGACCCAGAUGCCAUGUUCCACAACAGCCCGGCUGGGUGUUUAUCAUUGCUUCCUUUAGCAAGUUUAAGUAACUAUAAAGAGCGAAAUAUAAAUAAUUAUUAAGA
rnacentral:lncRNA from 1 species